UUUUUUUUUUUUUUUUUUUUUUUUUUUUUUUUUUUUUUUUUUUGAGAUGGAGUCUCGCUCUGUCACCCAGGCUGGAGUGCAGUGGUGCAAUUUCGGCUCACUGUAAGCUCCGCCUCCCAGGUUCACACCAUUCUCCUGCCUCAGCCGGUGAGGGGUGCAUCUUCUACAAACAGAUGCUGGGCCCCCUCCCUGGAGAUACACAUCCUAGCAAUCUGGAAGGGGGCACCCAUGGGCAUUUUAAAAUGCCUUUAAGGUGAUUUGAUGAUAGGCCAGAUUCAGGGCCCACUGUGUUUAAUAUGCCACGAUACCUUUCCUUAGAUCAUUUUAUAAGAUUAUUACAUUGAUAUUUUAAAAACAAACUGUUUAUUUUUCCUAAUUAAAUGUUUUCUGUUCAAAGGCAAACAAAACUGUUCAUUAUGAAAAGUAUUCAUCACUGGUAUGAGUUCAAAGAUUUUAAAUUCAGGGUUUGACACAGAGGUGAAUGGUAAGAGGCUUAUCUAUUUCUGGGGAAAAAUUACUUAUUUCCAGACACAAAAAGAUCCAAUAUAAAUAAUUCCCUUUUACGAAACAGAAAUCCCUGGCUGUGCUAAGAUUUUUCUAGAAAUUUAGAAUAGUUUAGUACUCCUAAGAAUAAAAUGUCUGAUUUAGGCAUUUCACUUUGAGCAUUUUUUUAAAA
rnacentral:lncRNA from 1 species